CAGGAAGUGAUGUAGGGAGGGUAAACAGGAAGUUCCGGGUGAGAGGUGAGUCAGGAGGACGUAGAAAGAAGACAUUGGUAGUGGCAGCAGAGGAGAGUUUUCCUCUGGUAAGGUCUGGUGACCAUUUUGCCAUCACAGUGCCUUCACCUCAUUCCCUGAAACAUGAGAGAAUCAAUGAGAAGAAGAUUCUAGAAGUCACCAACAAGAUCAUCGAUCUGCUGACAGGAGAGGUUCCUAUAAGGUGUCAGGAUGUCACUGUCU